CCUACGGGAGGCAGCAGUGAGGAAUAUUGGUCAAUGGGCGAGAGCCUGAACCAGCCAAGUCGCGUGAGGGAGUACUGCCCUAUGGGUUGUAAACUUCUUUUAUAAAGGAAUAAAACGAGGCACGUGUGCCUUUUUGCAUGUACUUUAUGAAUAAGGAUCGGCUAACUCCGUGCCAGCAGCCGCGGUAAUACGGAGGAUCCGAGCGUUAUCCGGAUUUAUUGGGUUUAAAGGGAGCGUAGAUGGGUUGUUAAGUCAGUUGUGAAAGUUUGCGGCUCAACCGUAAAAUUGCAAUUGAUACUGGCAGGCUUGAGUACAGUUGAGGUAGGCGGAAUUCGUGGUGUAGCGGUGAAAUGCUUAGAUAUCACGAAGAACCCCGAUUGCGAAGGCAGCUUACUAAACUGUGACUGACAUUGAUGCUCGAAAGUGUGGGUAUCAAACAGGAUUAGAUACCCGAGUAGUC
rnacentral:rRNA from 1 species